CAGCCGACCCCGGCGUCCCGACAGUAGGCUCCGAUGGUUGUACAUUUGUUGUCUCCACUGCUUUUGUCGUAGAUCCGGCCCUCAGCGGUGUUUCUGUGCAUCCGUUGUGUUUUCCGGCCAUCGAGCCGUGAUUCUUUGCUAUUUGUAUUACUACUAUGAUGAUACAUCCAUCCGGCAGAGCCGCGACGACUCGAUCUGUAUCCGACCAGCUCACCCAUCCAUCCGAGGGCGCCCCCCUGGGCCAGGGUAACAGAUAGAUGAGUCAUGGAUGCUUGGAGAGUCUCGGCUGCUAGUCCCAUGUCACACUCAAGGAUGGUUUUUUUUUUGUCUUGUUAUCGUUUGGGUGGUAGGUUGAUUUUGUGUAUUUUGCUUUUCAAUAAGUCGAUGUGAAUUUUGGAGUCAAGUCUGUGAUUGCAUGUAUUUUAGUUAGUGACUUUGUUGGCGUUACAUUCAUAUUACUUUAUAGUUUUUCGCUGCGUUUGAUACAGCCGUGUGGGCUGUUAUUAUA